rnacentral:rRNA from 1 species
GGCUAAUGCAGUCGAGCGGAAAAAGGAGCUUGCUCCCUGAUGUUACCGGCGGACGGGUGAGUAACACGUGGGUAACCUGCCUGUAAACUGGGAUAACUCCGGGAAACCGGAUCUAAUACCGGAUAGUUCCUUGAACCGCAUGGUUCAGGAUGAUUUACGGUUUCGGCUGUCACUUACAGAUGGACCCGCGGCGCAUUAUCUAGUUGGUGGGGUAAUGGCUCACCAAGGCGACGAUGCGUAACCGACCUGAGAGGGUGAUCGGCCACACUGGGACUGAACACCGCCCAGACUCCUACGGGAGGCAUCAGUAUGGAAUCUUCCGCAAUGGACGAAAGUCUGACGGAUCAACGCCGCGUGAGUGAUGAAGGUUUUCGGAUCUUAAAGCUCUGUUGUUAGGGAAGAACAAUUGCGAGAUUAACUGCUCGCACCUUGACGGUACCUAACCAUAAAGCCACGGCUAACUACGUGCCCGCAGCCUCGGUAAUACAUACGUGGCUAGCGUUGUCCGGAAUUAUUGGGCGUAAAGGGCUCGCAAGCGGUUUCUUUAGUCAGAUGUGAAAGCCCCCGGCUCAUCCGGGGAGGGUCCUUGGAACUAGGAAACUUGAGUGCAAAGAGGAGAGUGGAAUUCCACGUGUACGGUGAAAUGCAUACAGAUGUGGGAGAACACCUGGCGAAGCACUCUCUGGUCUGUAACUGACGCUGAGGAGCGAAAAGCGUGGGAGCGACAGAAUUAAUACCCUGGUAGUCCACGCCUAAAAUGAAUGCUAAAUGUUAGGGGGUUUUCCCCCCUUGCUGCACCUCACGCAUUAACCUCCGCCAGGGGAAUACGGUCGAAGAUGGAACCG